AGCCAGGUCCAGAUAAUCAGAAGGCAACCGAUCCUGGCUGAUCUUGGAAGUUACGCAUGAUUGGCUCUGGUUAGUAGUUGGAUGGGAGACUGAAGAAAAUACCAGAGGCUGUAGGUU
rnacentral:rRNA from 1 species